GCCGGGGUGGCGGAAUUGGUAGACGCGCUGGAUUCAGGAUCCAGUGGGAGUUAAUCCCAUGCGGGUUCAAAUCCCGCCCCCGGCA
rfam:Thermodesulfobacterium geofontis OPF15, complete genome.